rnacentral:rRNA from 1 species
GAUGAACGCUAGCGGCAGGCUUAACACAUGCAAGUCGAGGGGUAUAGGUUUUCGGACCUAGAGACCGGCGCACGGGUGCGUAACGCGUAUGCAAUCUACCUUUCACAGAGGGAUAGCCCAGAGAAAUUUGGAUUAAUACCUCAUAGUAUAGCAGUUUCGCAUGAAACCACUAUUAAAGUAUCAACGGUGAAAGAUGAGCAUGCGUCCCAUUAGCUAGAUGGUAAGGUAACGGCUUACCAUGGCUACGAUGGGUAGGGGUCCUGAGAGGGAGAUCCCCCACACUUGUACUGAGGCACGGACCAGACUCCUACGGGAGGCAGCAGUGAGGAAUAUUGGUCAAUGGACGCAAGUCUGAACCAGCCAUGCCGCGUGCAGGAUGACGGUCCUAUGGAUUGUAAACUGCUUUUGUACGAGAAGAAACAACAUUACGUGUAAUGUCUUGACGGUAUCGUAAGAAUAAGGAUCGGCUAACUCCGUGCCAGCCGCCGCCGUAACAC